rnacentral:lncRNA from 1 species
ACUCACCAACGCCAAAUAUUUUCUCUAUAUAUGUAAGAAAACAUUAAUUUAGCAGCGGGAAUCUAACAGCGGUUACACUAUCAUAAUUUAGAUAGAAAGAAAGGGAAAAUCAAGAAGAAGAAGAAGAUAUGGAGAAGAAGACUCUGCAACUCUCCGCCAUUAUCAUCAUUUUCCUUCUAACAUCCUCAUCAUGUAACUUUCUCCUUUUAUUUAUUUGGUCACUAAUUUCCUUCAUACUUGUCAAUAUAAUUUUUAUAUAUAGAUGUUAAAAUCGAAUUCCUCCCAUAUAUGCAGGCGUACUCAGAGGAGAGGCAGGAAAUGUUAUCAAGACACCAAAAUGCAAACCAAAGGAUGACUGUAAAAAGAUGAUCGGUUGCAUAUUCCCAGGCCAAGUGCCGGAAUGCGUCGACGGCUAUUGCCAUUGUGUUCAACAUCCGGAUGUC